AUACAGAGGGUGCGAGCGUUAAUCGGAAUUACUGGGCGUAAAGCGCGCGUAGGCGGCUUAUUAAGUCAGAUGUGAAAUCCCCGGGCUCAACCUGGGAACUGCAUCUGAUACUGGUAAGCUAGAGUUUGGGAGAGGGAAGUAGAAUUUCAAGUGUAGCGGUGAAAUGCAUAGAGAUCUGAAGGAAUACCAGUGGCGAAGGCGACUUCCUGGCCUAAAACUGACGCUGAGGUGCGAAAGCGUGGGUAGCAAACGGGAUUAGAAACCCGUGUAGUCC
rnacentral:rRNA from 1 species